UGUUGUGGAAUACCAAAAAGUAGCACAUACUGUAGUGCUUGAGAAACCAGAGUUUGUUGUGGUAUCUGAGGAACUCAUGCCUGAUGAAGAACCCCAAAAACUCAAAUAUGGCGUGAUGCCCCCAAAACAGAAGCCCAUUGUGGAAUCCCAAAAAUUUGAACAUGUUGUAGUGCUUGAGAGGCAAGAAUUUGAUGUGGCACCUGAGGAACCCAUGCCUGAUGUGCCACCCCAAAAGUUAAAAUAUGUGAUGCCCCCAGAACACAAGCCGGUUCUGGAAUCCCAGAAAUCAAGAAAACCAGAACCAUUUAUGGUCCCUGAGGAAUAUGAGCUCAUACUGGUGUCUGAGGAGUCAGAGACAGUUGAAUCAACUCAAAAAUCAAAGCGUGUUGUGGUGCCCCCCAAAACAAAACAUUUUGUGCGGUCCCAAAAAGCAGAGUUUGCAGCAGCUGAAGAAACAGACUUUGCUGCAGACUUCCGGAAGUCAAUGACUUCUGCAGUGUCCAGAAAAUCAAAGGCUUUUGUGUCAGAAUCUGUCAUGGUGUCUGAGGAACCAGAAACUGUUUUAGCACCCCAAAGCCUAGAGCCUUCUACACCACUUCGAAAACCAAAGCCUGAAGCAGCAUCCAAAGAACCAGAGCUCAUUUUGGCACCGGAGGAACCACCACCAGCCAAGCUGGCCGAAAAGGAAGAGCAUGUUGCUGCUAAAAAGCGAGCAGCUGCACAACCUAAAGUGCCUGAGAUGGCUGAGAGGACUGUUCCAGAGAAGAAAGUUCCCCCUGCUCUAUCUAAAAAACCAGAAGCUUCACUUCCUAAAGGUACAUGUCACCACUAUUAUCAUCAUAAGAAAGGGUGUUGUUUGUUUUUUAGGGUUAUUUUAAAUGAAUCUCAGUUUAAAUUUGUUUUUCCCUGCAUACUUUGAUAUCAAAAAUGUGGGAGAGAUAUGCCAAAUAUGAAUUGCUGUGCAGGGGUCUGAAAUGUUUCUUCAGCUUAAACCAUCUAAACUCUUGUUAUACUGGCUUUAUGUCAUAUCAAGCAGAUAUGAUAAACUCCUGUCUACCAAAAACCUGCCAAAAUCUUAUGGAUACAAGAGAAGGAGUUCAUAAACAGUUGUUCACACUAUUAGUAGGCAUGACUUCAUACAUGUUUUAGUGGGACUGGGCAGUGUUAUAUUUACUGUUAGAUUUGAUAAUCCUAAAAUCUUUUUCAACCUAAAUGAUUCCAUGAGGAAAGACAAAAUAGAAACUAUUCUGUUUGACUACUCUGUUUCAGCAGAGAGUAGUAGUUUCAGUACACAGAGCAAAAGAAUCGCAAAUAUCUCUAUGUAUCUGUAUAACAGAGCAGAAUAUUUUAUUUAAACUGUUCUUAUUUUUUUUCUGUAUUUUGGUCAUACAUAAACACUUUUGACUACAGGAUUUGCAAAGCUGUCACUUUGUAUAAAUAGCAUUAAAGACCUGUAAAGCAACUGUGAGCAUAUAAUACAGUGAG
rnacentral:lncRNA from 1 species